CUCACUGAAGUGCUGCCGACCACGUGUUCCUCCGCUCUCCCGGCCGCCAUUCCCGCCGUGCUGGAGCCCUCCUCUGGGGUACCUGUGCUGCCUGCCGCCAUCUUGGGUGGGGCGCGUUUUCCAGCAGGCCCGCGCUUUGCGGCCGUCCUCGCCUGACCGGCACCGCGGCGCACAGGCGGCGCCGGCCGCUUCCCAGUGCUGUCCGAC